rnacentral:rRNA from 1 species
UACGUAGGGCCCAAGCGUUGUUCGGAUUUACUGGGCGUAAAGGGCGCGUAGGCGGCGCGGCAAGUCACUUGUGAAAUCUCUGAGCUUAACUCAGAACGGCCAAGUGAUACUGCAGUGCUAGAGUGUGGAAGGGGCAAUCGGAAUUCUUGGUGUAGCGGUGAAAUGCGUAGAUAUCAAGAGGAACACCUGAGGUGAAGACGGGUUGCUGGGCCAACACUGACGCUGAUGCGCGAAAGCCAGGGGAGCAAACGGG